GAUGAAGAACGUAGCGAAAUGCGAUAAGUAAUGUGAAUUGCAGAAUUCAGUGAAUCAUCGAAUCUUUGAACGCACAUUGCGCCCGCCAGUAUUCUGGCGGGCAUGCCUGUCCGAGCGUCAUUUCAACCCUCAAGACCCCUUCGGGGGACUUGGUGUUGGGGACCGGCACAGGGGCCUGCCUGCUUGUCUUGCAGCGCCCUCGCCGCCCCCGAAAUGAAUUGGCGGCCUCGUCGCGGCCUCCCCUGCGUAGUAGCACAACCUCGCAACGGGAACGUGACGGCGGCCACUGCCGUAAAACAACCCCAAUUUUAUUAGAGUUGACCUCGAAUCAGGUAGGAAUACCCGCUGAACUUAAGCAUAUCAAUAAGCGGAGGA
rnacentral:misc_RNA from 1 species